rnacentral:rRNA from 1 species
UACGUAGGGGGCUAGCGUUGUCCGGAAUCAUUGGGCGUAAAGCGCGUGUAGGCGGUCCGGUAAGUCCGCUCUGAAAGCCCGGGGCUCAACCCCGGGAGGCGGGCGGAUACUGUCGGGCUAGAGUCCGGAAGAGGCGAGUGGAAUUCCUGGUGUAGCGGUGAAAUGCGCAGAUAUCAGGAGGAACACCGAUGGCGAAGGCAGCUCGCUGGGACGGUACUGACGCUGAGGCGCGAAAGCGUGGGGAGCAAACAGG